ensembl:snoRNA SNORD15 Small nucleolar RNA SNORD15
CUUCAGUGAUGAUACGAUGACGAGUCGGAACAGGACUCACUCUGGUUCUGUGGGUCGCUGGUUCAGGUCCACGUUCUGUGGUUCUGGUCCAGUUCCUCAGACCGGGACGUCCUCAUUGGUUGAAGACAUCGAGGCAUUUGUCUGAGAAGG